AUUGAACGCUGGCGGCAUGCCUUACACAUGCAAGUCGAACGGUAACGCGGGGCAACCUGGCGACGAGUGGCGAACGGGUGAGUAACGCAUCGGAACGUGCCCAGUAGUGGGGGAUAGCCCGGCGAAAGCCGGAUUAAUACCGCAUACGACCUACGGGUGAAAGGGGGGGAUCGCAAGACCUCUCGCUAUUGGAGCGGCCGGUGUCAGAUGAGGUAGUUGGUGGGGUAAAGGCCUACCAAGCCGACGAUCGGUAGCGGGUCUGAGAGGACGACCAGCCACACUGGGACUGAGACACGGCCCAGACUCCUACGGGAGGCAGCAGUGGGGAAUUUUGGACAAUGGGCGAAAGCCUGAUCCAGCCAUGCCGCGUGCGGGAAGAAGGCCUUCGGGUUGUAAACCGCUUUUGUCAGGGAAGAAAUCUUCUGGGUUAAUACCUCGGGAGGAUGACGGUACCUGAAGAAUAAGCACCGGCUAACUACGUGCCAGCCGCCGCCGUAAGAC
rnacentral:rRNA from 1 species